GCACUGCUGAGGAGUCCCAUAAUAGGACGAAACAGCCGUCUAGUGC
rfam:Schistosoma mansoni strain Puerto Rico chromosome 5, complete genome